rfam:Dipodomys ordii contig_11470, whole genome shotgun sequence.
GGUAGCUUAGUGGUAGAGUGCUUGCCUUGCAUGCAUGAGGCCCUGGGUUCAAUUCCUCAGUACCA